CACCGAAGUCAAGCAUCAUUGGGCGUGGUCAGUACUUGGGUGGGUGACCACCUGGGAAUACCGCGUGCCGUU
rnacentral:rRNA from 1 species